AAGCAUUUAGCAUGUUUUGCUGAAUUUUAAGAGUUACAAUCUUUAAAACAUAAUAUACUACAAUUUUCUGCAUUGCAGAAACAGAUCUUAUCGAGUUACUGAAUUAGGCAGAAUUUGAAUAAGUCAAUAAGUCUUCGACUCUUAUCUUCUAAUUGAAUCGGUCAAAUAUAAGCAGUAUUCCUGAAAGUUCAACUAAUUGAAUCGGUCAGGAGGGAAUAUAUUUUAUAUAUUAUUAGCGUACACCCACCUACUACCCAAAAGCUUUCUUUCUCUCUCAGCAUCUUCUUCUUUAUAUUAACCUGAAAUCCUUUAUAAUACAAUCGAUUUCAUUGUUUUUGAAUUUUGUAUUAAUAUUAAUUUUGUUUUUUUGGUGCAGGUGAAAAUGAAAUCUACGUUUGGCGAAGGAGUAGCAGCGGUAAAAGUAUCUGAUGACUUUGGGGAAGCUACCAAACAAGUUCCAGACUUGUGUCUCUUCGCUGUCUUUUCUUUCUCGAUCUACUGCCAUCAAUACCAUCCCAAACACCACCAUCAACCAAGAAAACUACCGCCACAUUACACCACCACCCUUGUUGGAGCGUAUCGGUCAGAGAUAACUAGGAGUUAAACCCUUACCAUUAUUUUAUCUUUGGGUCUCUAACAACGAUGAGAACCUAGACGAACAUAAAGUGCUCUUCCUUAAGAAUAUGCAGGUAUGAUACCACAACUUGAGGCUUUUACACUAAACUAAACGGAAAUCUGGUUGCUUACAACAAGCGGGGGAAUCAUGAAGAGUUGUAGCUCUUUGAUUAGUGCUUCAAGUUGUUUGUUUUCUGAUUAAAGCUUUAUACACGAAUCAUUGGAGCAAGUCAACCAACAGAUUGUAGGCGUAAUACUGCCAAAACUUGUUUAGUUAUGUUUACUAUUGGUUCAACGAGUCUCAUCACAUAAUAAAUCAAAAUCUACAAGCUUUUUUUCUUUUCUAAUUAUCAAUAGACUUUAUUUUUUCUAAUAUAACCAUGAGAUCUUUGUAUGUAUGUAUAUGUGAAACAUAGUCAACAAUAUGUAUGUAAACCAUGUUUUUAAGGAGACGA